rnacentral:rRNA from 1 species
UCGGGAAUUUUGGGCAAUGGGGGAAACCCUGAUCCAGCAACGCCGCGUGAAGGAUGAAGUAUUUCGGUAUGUAAACUUCGAAAGAAUAGGAAGAAUAAAUGACGGUACUAUUUAUAAGGUCCGGCUAACUACGUGCCAGCAGCCGCGGUAAUACGUAGGGACCAAGCGUUGUUCGGAUUUACUGGGCGUAAAGGGCGCGUAGGCGGCAUGACAAGUCACUUGUGAAAUCUCUGGGCUUAACCCAGAACGGCCAAGUGAUACUGUCGCGCUAGAGUGCAGAAGGGGCAAUCGGAAUUCUUGGUGUAGCGGUGAAAUGCGUAGAUAUCAAGAGGAACACCUGAGGUGAAGACGGGUUGCUGGGCUGACACUGACGCUGAGGCGCGAAAGCCAGGGGAGCAAACGGGAUUAGAUACCCCAGUAGUCCCUGAGCGGGCUGGCAAGGCGCAU